UGGUGGACAGGGCGCGCGCGGCAGGGAAGGGCGGGGCGGCUGAGGAGCCGCAGUCUCGCGCCGCGGUCGCGAGCGUGUGAGGGGCUGUGCUCU
rnacentral:pre_miRNA from 1 species